CUCCUCCAAGGAAUAGAGUCCCAGUCUACUCAACCUCUCCCUGUAGCUCAGGCCCUCUAGCCCAGGUAACAUCCUCGUAAAUCUUCUCGGUGCCCUUUCCAGCUCGAGAAUGUCUCCAUUCACUGCGA